rnacentral:rRNA from 1 species
CCUACUCCCUGUGUCGCCUUGCCUCCACGACUAUUAGUUAGUUGUGAGGUACGGCUCACCAAGACGAUGAUGUCGUAGGGAUCUGAGAGGACGAUCACGACCACACGGUGGACGUGAACGACGACCGGACCACGACUUACCGGUACGGGGAGGCAGCGAGGGUUAGGGUUAACGUUUCCGACUAAGGUGGGAACGAAACGCCGUAGGACGGAGACAACGGACCGCGGGUGGGGAAAGAAGGCUUCGUUUGGGUUACGUAAACCCCUUUUCUCGUGGGAAAGAAAGUUUGUGAAAGCAACCUGACGGUACCAGAGGAAUCAGCAUCGGCUAACUCCGUGCCAGCAGCCGCGGUAAGACGGAGGAUGCAAGCGUUAUCCGGAAU